AUUGAACGCUGGCGGCAUGCUUUACACAUGCAAGUCGAACGGCAGCACGGGGGCAACCCUGGUGGCGAGUGGCGAACGGGUGAGUAAUGCAUCGGAACGUAUCUUCGAGUGGGGGAUAACGCACCGAAAGGUGUGCUAAUACCGCAUAAUCUCUAAGGAGAAAAGCAGGGGAUCGCAAGACCUUGCGCUCUUGGAGCGGCCGAUGUCUGAUUAGCAGUUGGUGAGGUAAAGGCUUACCAGGGCGACGAUCAGUAGCUGGUCUGAGAGGACGACCAGCCACACUGGGACUGAGACACGGCCCAGACACCUACGGGUGGCAGCAGUCGAGUAAUUUUUCUCAAUGGGGGAAACCCUGAAGGAGCGACGCCGCGUGGAGGAUGAAGGUCUUCGGAUUUGUAAACUCCUGUCAUUCGAGAACAAGGCCUGCGAAGUAACUGUCGUCAGGCUCGAUAGUAUCGAAAGAGGAAGGGACGGCUAACUCUGUGCCA
rnacentral:rRNA from 1 species